rnacentral:lncRNA from 1 species
UUCAGCAAGAUUGUGAAGGAUUAGAGUCAUAAAUCGCAUGCUAGUGUCUAAAUACUCUCUAAUCCAAGUGUUUUGAACAUAAGGAACGAAAGAAGAAGGAGCUAGUACCGGAUCACAAACAAAGGCCCAAGACCGAGGUAAAGCACCCGUAUGAUUGUCAUUGCGUCGCUCGGAUACGAACACACCUUGAUCACCCGUGAUGCGCUUCCGCAAGCUUUUGUAGUAACCUUAAUUGUUAAAGGCUUUCGUUAAAGUUAGUAGUGUUGAAGUUUUAUGUCUUAACUAGAUGUUUUCGCGACCAGGAGGGAGGAACAAGGGGGAAACCCUAAUUACAUCAAUCAACACCAAAAUUCAGCAAGAUUGUGAAGGAUUAGAGUCAUAAAUCGCAUGCUAGUGUCUAAAUACUCUCUAAUCCAAGUGUUUUGAACAUAAGGAACGAAAGAAGAAGGAGCUAGUACCGGAUCACAAACAAAGGCCCAAGACCGAGGUAAAGCACCCGUAUGAUUGUCAUUGCGUCGCUCGGAUACGAACACACCUUGAUCACCCGUGAUGCGCUUCCGCAAGCUUUUGUAGUAACCUUAAUUGUUAAAGGCUUUCGUUAAAGUUAGUAGUGUUGAAGUUUUAUGUCUUAACUAGAUGUUUGUGAAUACUUAAGUAACUUAGACUUGAUGUUUGAAACGGUAGUUUAAAUGUUAUGGUCUUUCGUAUGUUGUUUUUCUGAAGGUGUCAUUAUUUGAGUACUUUGAUAUAUUAUAAACAGGGAGAUUGUUCAAAUUGCGAACGGGUCAUGC